CAACAUCGUGCCGUUCGCGCACAGGCCGCCGGCACACCCCGCCCUCGCACAGCACCUGCCCCCACGCCAUUCCGCCGCGCACUGCCACGCCACACCGCGCGCACCGAACGUCGCCGCGCCACACCGCGCGCACCGGACGCCGCCGCCGUCGUCUUCUGCCCGCGACGCGACGACGAGCCGUACCCGCUCCACACCCACUUCGUUCCAAGGGGUCGUUUCUACGACCAAUAAUCUACGUGCAGAGUCAGAGGAGGACCGGACUGACGAGGAUCGGGAAUAUCGGGAGGAGUUAGGCGAAGACUACUCCGAAGGUUCUUAUGAUUCCGAGGGAUAUAGCGACUAGGGGAUUCAUGCCUUCGCUCAAGUCGAUGGAGUUUCUACCUUCCGCAUCUAUCGAGCUGUUCCGGUUGAUAAUUUAGAUUUUGUUUCUGCCAUGUGGCAAUGUAAUAAUGUAAUAUUCUCUAUUCUUAAUGCUUUUGUACGAUGUAUGGAUGAUGAUUAUCAACUGGAAUUGGGUAAUUUGAUUUAAAUGGUCAUUUUA